UUGACCUAAACAUAUCUAUAAUAAAUGUUUAUUCAUAAUUUUUUUAUUCAUAACAGAAAUCGUUAUACUGUAUAUAUAAAUGUAUAGUAAUAAUAUGAUAGUUAGGUAAUUACUAAUAUCAAUAAUUAUUAACACAUUCAUUUGUAGGAUUCUAUGUUAUAUAAUUUAGACAGUAAUAAUAUUAACAUGAUACAUGAUAGGUAGUUAUUUUUUUAAUAUGAAUAUUGUACUAAUAUCAUUAAUUAUUAUAUUAGUAUCACUAUUAUACUAAGGCAACUUAUAUGAAUCAGAGAUGUAAAAUUCAAGUCAUUUGGAUUAAUUUAAAACUCACUAAACAUGGUUUGAAGUAAAGCUAAAAACAAAAAAUAACAUAGCAAAUGGUUAUCAAAGCUAAAGCUUUAGACAGAAUCGACUCGAACAACUCGUUCACGGGUACGUAUUUCAACUCGUGGAAUUUUAGAUUUCUUCCAAAAACUGUCCAUUGAAUCUGCAGUAUCAGCCAUCUCAUCAUCAGGCUGUGGAUCAUCUUCGGAAGCUCCAUGAUCGCUGCUGACAUUGAUAACAUCUUCCCAAUUCCAGUUGGCAAGAGACUCCAACCUUUUGUUUAGCUUGUCACACUUCCGUUUCUAAGAUAACAACAAUUUAAAAAAAUAAUGUGGACAUAAGAAACGAAAUAUAUAACACUGCUGUAAUGCAGAUUUACCUGCUCACUGAUUUCACGUAGAAUUUCUGAAGCGGUUGGGCUUGACUCUCCAUCCCAUUUUAUUAUCUCAACACUUUUGGCAGGUUUCUAUAAAAUCAAUGCCUUAUUAGAUAUCACUUAUACAGAUUUUUACAAAAUAAACAUGAAUUUUGAAUAUGUUUACUUACAUGUGAUUCGAGGUGUUGCUGCUCGUCGACUUCUGGAUCAUACUUUUCAACUCGGUAAUUCAAGGUGUUGCUGUUCUUUCUCUUUGGUUUUGGGAUCAAUUUUUUCAACUCGGUUCUAAAAUUCACGUUUUGCAGGUUCUAAAAUUCACAUUUUUUGUUUACUGUUUUAAAAUACACGUUUUUUGUUUACAGGUCUAAAUUUGUUCAGAUAGAUUUUGUAAUUUCAUGGUUUAUGUUUCCAAUUAAAUUUCCACAUAUUUAGGUCAGUUAUUUUAGAUAGAUCGUGGGGUCUAUUUUUCCCAAAAUUUAGUAUGAGAAAGUCAAACUGGACAAAAAAACCUCCCCUUGUUUUUCUGAAUUAUAAGGGUCAGG